rnacentral:rRNA from 1 species
UACGUAGGGGGCAAGCGUUAUCCGGAAUUACUGGGUGUAAAGGGAGCGUAGACGGUAAUGUAAGUCUGGAGUGAAAGGCGGGGGCCCAACCCCCGGACUGCUCUGGAAACUAUGUUACUAGAGUGCAGGAGAGGUAAGCGGAAUUCCUAGUGUAGCGGUGAAAUGCGUAGAUAUUAGGAGGAACACCAGUGGCGAAGGCGGCUUACUGGACUGUAACUGACGCUGAGGCAUGAGAGCAUGGGGAGCAAACAGG